CGCGGCCUAUCAGCUUGUUGGUGGGGUAGUGGCCUACCAAGGCGACGACGGGUAGCCGGCCUGAGAGGGUGACCGGCCACACUGGGACUGAGACACGGCCCAGACUCCUACGGGAGGCAGCAGUGGGGAAUAUUGCGCAAUGGGCGGAAGCCUGACGCAGCGACGCCGCGUGGGGGAUGACGGCCUUCGGGUUGUAAACCUCUUUCAGCAGGGACGAAGCGAAAGUGACGGUACCUGCAGAAGAAGCACCGGCCAACUACGUGCCAGCAGCCGCGGUAAUACGUAGGGUGCAAGCGUUGUCCGGAAUUAUUGGGCGUAAAGAGCUCGUAGGCGGUUUGUUGCGUCGGCUGUGAAAUCCCGAGGCUCAACCUCGGGUCUGCAGCCGAUACGAGCAAACUAGAGUGUUGCAGGGGAGACUGGAAUUCCUGGUGUAGCGGUGAAAUGCGCAGAUAUCAGGAGGAACACCGGUGGCAAAGGCGGGUCUCUGGGCAACAACUGACGCUGAGGAGCGAAAGCGUGGGGAGCGAACAGGAUUAGAUACCCUGGUAGUCCACGCCGUAAACGUUGGGCGCUAGGUGUGGGGCUCAUUCCACGAGUUCCGUGCCGCAGCUAACGCAUUAAGCGCCCCGCCUGGGGAGUACGG
rnacentral:rRNA from 1 species